CAAUUUCCAAGUCAAAAGAUGAAGACCUCUAACUGUAUAAUAGGAGCAGCAUUUGGAAAAUGUUGUAAUCUUUUAUACUAUUUUCCUUCAUGUUCUCUUUCCAAGUUUCUGAUGAAGAACAGUCAGUUGUGUAUGUUCCAGGAAUUUCUACAGAAGGAAAUAUGAGAUCAAGACACAAGUUGCCAAGUCCAAAAGCUGAUGUCAAAGUUAAGACUUCCAGAGUGACUGAUGCUUCAAUCUCUAUGGAGUCUUUAAAAGGUGCAGGAGAUUCAGUAGAUGAACAGAAUUUCUGCAAGGAGGGAAUGAAGAGUGCAUCACUGAAGGAUUUAUGUCUUGAAGACAAAAGACGCAUUGCAAACUUAAUUAAAGAACUGGCCAGAGUAAGUGAAGAAAAGGAAGUGACAGAAGAACGACUGAAAGCUGAGCAGGAAUCAUUUGAAAAGAAGAUUAGGCAGUUGGAAGAACAGAAUGAACUGAUCAUCAAAGAAAGGGAAGCUCUUCAGCUACAAUAUAGAGAAUGCCAAGAACUUCUAAGUCUGUAUCAGAAAUACCUAUCAGAACAGCAAGAGAAGCUCACCAUAUCUCUCUCAGAACUGAGUGCUGCUAGAAUGCAAGAGCAACAGAUAACCAAUAGGAAUAGCACUCUCCAGUCUUCAUCUGUGGAACUGGAUGGUUCCUACUUGAAUGUAGCCAAAUCACAAACCUACUAUCAAACCAAGCAAAGGCCCAAGUCUGCAAACCGGGUCUCAGCUUCAGAAUCCCUUAUGGAGUUUAGGAAUAAUUCUUUGAAACCAACAACCCUUUCUCAUCCCAAAGAAGGUCUAGAGAGGCUGCCAUCAGAGAUAAGAACGUGUAAUUAUGAAUCUCCAGGGAGAAAACCAGUUGAUGUAGCCCCAAAAGAAACAGCUCCACCAGAAGCAUUGAAGAUGAAGGAAUGUCCACAUUUUAAGCCUGCUCCAUCUAGACGAUGUUGUAGUCACAGACUUUCUGAAAAUGAAGAUUGUGUUCAUGAGAUCCAACCUACAAACAUGGCCCUUCAAUAUUCUAGGAUACAUCCGGAAUCAUGCAGUUAUUGUGGGCUUUCUUGGGCAUCUAUCAUGCAUAGUAAAGGAUCACUGCAACCCAGUGAAAUUGAAGUCAAAAAGCAACUUUCAGAAGAUAGAAGGCAACAACUGGUGCUUCAGAAAAUGGAGCUAGAAAUUGAAAAGGAGCGCCUUCAGCAUCUGCUAGCUCAGCAGGAGACAAAGCUUCUUCUCAAACAGCAGCAGCUUCAUCAGUCUCGACUGGAUUACAAUUGGCUAAGAACUCAAGCUGUGUUUAAGUCGAAGGAACUGGUUGCUGACAAAGAGCUUAUUAAACCCCAAGAGCUCAGUUUGAAUAUAAAUGGGAAUGACUCUGAACUAAGUUUAUUAAAGUCAAAAUGCAAUGGAUGGCUGCCUAGAACCUCAUCAUCCUUUAAAAAAUACCAAGACUCCCCAAAUGGUGGAGAGAACAGGAAAGAGAAAAAGACAGUUGGGUUUCAGUCGCAUAUAGAAGAUGAUGCCAAGUGGAUGUGUCAAAAAAAAGAUACAUGUGGCCCCCAGAGAGGGACAGUGCCAGAAGUCAGAAAAGAUGCAUCUACAUCACCUAUUCCAGUAGGAAGCCAAAAGAAGCUCAUAACCAAGGCCUCAUCAUCAUUCCAAUACAGCACCCCCCGGUGCUCAGCAUGGUACUGGAGACAGAAAGCACAGUCCUGCCUACUUGGCUUUAGAUGCUAGAAAAAUAUCGAUGUGGGCUUGAGUGCCUGAAUAGCCUGGUUCUGAGAUUACAUGGAUUCAAUGAAGAUUGUCAAAGACUUUCUUGCCCCCAUCUCUUGGACCAGCCUGGUGCCUCCAUCUCAACAAGGAAACUUUGUCUCAGCGGUAGCAAGCAUAGAAUCAUCACUCAGCCUGCUGUCAAGCUAAAAGUAAAAGAGUGCCUACCCAAAACAGGUCCUACCAGAGAGGAAGAACUAUGCAACCAUUAGCUACAUGUUCAGUAGCUUAUUGCUGACUCCUUCAAGAAGAGAGGAGACAGGAGACAUGAAGCGAGCACUUGGAGGGGUUUGACUGCAGAGAAUGUAUAAAUGGAGAAAUUUCAAGUCCAAGAGAAGCCUGAGGUAGACAGAGCCGGGUGAUCUCAGCAGAGGCCUUAACCUCUCUGAGCCUCCAUUUUCUCGGGGAUAAUGAUACUUGCAAUCAUUAAAUGAGAUUACAAGUAAGCAGCUCUUAACACAGUGUCUAUCACACAACAAGCACACUAUAAAUAAUAGCUGCAUCCCUGCUUCACAGCAGAGUCCCCCCAUGGCAAGAGUGUGCCACAAGACCCUGAUUCCUCUGCUCAGAGGUGCCCAAGCACCCCACAGCCUGGACUUCUGACUGCCUGUCUCUGUCUCCUCAGUGAAAAUGGGAUGAAGCUGUGUUCCUCCCACCCACUCAGCCCACAUCCAUACCCUUAAUGAUCAAGGUACAGGAACAACUGGCAAUGCUGGCUGCCUCUGGAAAGGGGAUGGUGACUGAAUUCAUUGUAACCUUUUCCCUCCUUUUUGAAGUAUAAGAAUAUGUUGACUAUGCAGAAAAAAGAUUUAAAAAUGUUUAAAUGCACAGACCAAGUGAGUAUGUAGCCUGAGGCCUUGUGAACCAGGAGGAGGAUGGCUGCAGGCAGCAGCAGCUAUAGUGGCCUUGGGAAUGCUCU